CACCGGACCACAAAGCCGCCUCCGUGUGACACCUCUCCGGCUCCUCUGUGGCGGCCUCAAAGGGGCCCCGCGGGGGGGCCGAGCCGCAGCAUGAGAACCUCCGGGUCAGCAGAACCGUCGGGACGCUGCUUCUUGUUGACGUUGUAAAAUCUCCGCGCGUUCAUUCCGUGACGGACGAGCACACGACGCACGAGCUUUAAAACCAAGUUUAUAUUUUAAGUGAAGAGCAGGAACAGAGCUGAUGUGGAACAACAUGGCCGACGUGCGGAACAAGACGCCACGGUUUUCACCUCUCGGCCUUUCCCUCUCCUCCCUCGCUCCGUUUGAAAACAAAGCCCCUCCCACCCCCGGCUUCACGUCAAUCACCCGCCCCACCCGCCCCUGAUCCCGGGGCCACCGCCGGACCGUCGCCUAGGCAACGGCCAUCACAUGACGACGCCCCGGUCCUCCGUUUCUCCACUCCUUCCACCUCCUCCUCCACCUCCUGCUCCUCCUACACGUCGCGUGGACCCCUCGGAGAGACGGAAAGAGAAUUAGAGAUGUCUCUUAAUAAGAGUCCCGGUGCUGAAAGAAAAUGACCAAUAUUCUUCUUCAGGCAGGAAGUGAUUGGAACUGCGGACAUUUUUCUUUUUUUGUGAGAAACCAGCGCGGGAGAUUAGCUCGAUUAAGGCCAAAUCAGACCUGCUUCCAAUCUGAUGAGGGAAGAAGAAGAUAAUGGUUUCUCAUGCGGCUCGAGGGAAUUAAAGCGCGCUUUGUCUCUCUGUCUCUCUGGGUGACUUCGGCCCCACAACCAAUCAGAGAGGAGGAAGCUAAUGUCACAUUUCCUCCUGUGAAUUACCUUCAUGUCCAACAUGGUUUCAUUAGGUGAAUUCCGUUUUAAAUGGGGGGGGGGGGGUUGGUUUUAGACUUUUGAAAAUAGUUGGGUAGAAAAUUAGUGUAAAUGUGUGAAAAUAGCCGCAGAUGUAGAAGUACAGCAGUAACCUGCAGGUACUCACAGCAACAAUUCAGAUUCUAAUCAGAUACUCUAAACACAAGUUCUCCACAUUUGUUUCUCUUGAUUAAAGAAACACAAAUCCUGCAAAAGACUUUCAACUUCUCACUGGUUGAGUCCUGCAAUGUUGAUGUAUGUUGACAGAAUAAAGUCUUUGGGUGAAAAUGGUUUUAAUGAGUGUUGUUGGCAGAUAGUAAUAGUAUCGCUGGUAGCCCAGAG